rnacentral:rRNA from 1 species
CCCUUAGAUGUCCUGGGCUGCACGCGCGCUACACUGAUGUGUCCAGUAAGCACCUAACCUCUUCCGAAAGGAACGGGUAACCUUUGCAAAGCACAUCGUGAUGGGGAUAGAUUAUUGCAAUUAUUAGUCUUGAACGAGGAAUUCCUAGUAAGCACAAGUCAUCAGCUUGUGUUGAUUACGUCCCUGCCCUUUGUACACACCGCCCGUCGCUCCUACCGAUUGGAUGGUCCGGUGAAGCCUCGGGAUUGUGGUUCUUGCCGCUUUAUUGUGGCGUGACCGCGAGAACUUGUCUAAACCUUAUCAUCUAGAGGAAGGUGAAGUCGUAACA